CUUCCGGGGCGCAUAGUAGUUUGGCGUGGAUCACAACUUGGAUGGUGAAGCCGCCAUCAAGUGAAUGCUCUCACGAGUAAGAGCUUGGUCUGUCCUGUCGGCGUUGAGGCCGGUGUAGCACUGUUGAGCCUGGUGUCUGCCUUAAAGCAGCUAGAGCAGUGUUGUCGGAGCUAACGCAGCUUCCCCCUCCCUCUCCCUCAACUUGAUGGUUAGGAACGAAAUCUUUUUAACCUGAUAUAUGAAGUCGGCUGGCAUCGCCAAGUGUCUCCACGCCACACGCGGCUGCUGUUCUGUCUCUUACGAAGUUUAUCGCGUCCUCUUC